GGAGAGUCUAUGUUGGAAAGACCCUCGAGGAUCAUCAGGUCAAAUGAUGAGAAGUGGUUGCCCCAUCUAGAGAAGGAUGGAGACUGUCCUCAGAGGGAAACACAAGCUGGUGGGACCCAGCUGUGGCACUCCGUUUCCUCUUGUUGCUACUGUCCUGGGGAGCCACAGGGGCUGGCAGCCAGCCCUGCCCCAGCUGUCACCCCGCAGCACAGCGACACGGCAGCCUGACCACAAUGGCUCCUGUCAGAACCCAGCACGGUGACAAAAGUGGAAGCUCCUGACUCCACACCAGAGAUGGCGGCCCCGCGACACAGACUGGCAUGUCCUUCCAAAGAGGGCGGCACUGCUUUGGGUCAGGAAAUGGCGUGGAAAGGCAUCUAUUCGGCACCCGACCCUGACCCCAAUCCCACCCCAGACCCACGACCUCAGCACACUUUCCCACAACACCAUGGGUCAGAGAGAGAGAAGGGAAAUUACUCCCUAUGAUCUUGAAAUUUAUCCAGGCAGAAGUGGGAUGUUGUCUUGCCCCUCCCCAAAGCACUGUAGGCCCAUGAGAGCAGCUCAGCACAGGCCCAGCUCUGAGAAAUAACAGUGUGUGAGGGGUUUAACUGUUAAUCACAACUCUCUUGUCUCUUGGUGGCAAAGAUUUAGUCCUACAGUCCCAGACUGAUGAGGGAAGAAAGGAACUUCUGUUAUUACUAGAAAAACCUCUUUUAUUCCUUCUGCAGGCUUUUAAUUCUGUGGCCUGUGUGGCUGUCUGUUAUCUUUAUAACAAGACUUGUCAGAGAUUUAGAUUUAAGAAUUGAAUUUGGGUCCGUUCACUACAAAAUCUUGCCAAGCCUGAAGGCCAGAAGUGAUGACUGCUCUCAGCAAAGGUACUUUAUUAAUCCUGUCAGAUUUCCCUCAGCGCUGGGCACAAAAGGCUGAGGGAGUUCUGCAAGUGUGACCCUUGGCUUCUUGUGUGUGUGUGUGUGUGUGUGUGUGUGAGCGAGCCAGGGCUGGGACAAGGACUCGUGCUGGAGCUCUUUAGAGCCAUUUUAAAGGUCCGAUCCUAGAACGUUUUGGAGGCUGUUUCCAGAGCUCCAUUUGUAGCUGGAUCUCACUUCAAGUGCAGCAGUCCAGGGGAGGGUUCUGACCUCUCCAGACUUCUGCUCAGCCAGGGUGCAGCUGUUGCUGGCUCACAUUGGGACUGGGGCAGGUUUUCCAGGGAACUGGAGAUCAGUAAGGACUGGUGCUCUGGAAGCAGGGACCUGCAGGGAUUUGCUUUAGCAAAGCUGAAAUGCAGUUUGUAAAGGUAGCCCAAAAUUUGAAUUCCUGUGGCUUUUGUGGAAGAUAGGAGAACUAGAUCAGGACUGGCUUUUGUGCCAAGAGGGUCUGAGGAGCUGCAUCCAUACAUGGGGCAUGACCUGUGUAAUUAAAAUGAUGUCCUUGUCCCAGAGGCUGAUGGUUUCUGCUCAUUCCUGUACCCAGUUGUCCCCAGCGUGUUGCUGAUCCAGAGGGAUCUGCUCUGGUUUCAGACUGUCCAUGGCCUGGUCACUGCAGUCCCCAGUGCCUGAGACACAGAGACAGCCCUGGACAGAGUGGCCAGGGUCACUUAAAUAGAAAUGAAACGUGCUAAACUUGCUGUGGACAGGAACUACUCUGUGCUUGCUUCAGUUUUAAAACUGUGAGUGAAUUCUUGAUGCAAGGUCACUUAAUUCUGCCUCUAAAGCAAGAGAUUUUCCACACCCCUAUUUACAGGUUGUUAUAUACAAAUGCACAUAACUUUAUAAAGGGAAACUGGAAGUAAAAACCAACACCCUCUUGUACAUUGGAUUAUUAUUUUCUAGUAGCCAUUUAUUUUGUGGUAAACCUGCCUUUUCCAGUGUGCUUUGGGGUUUCAGCUAUUUGGGAAUAAUUUCAGCCAACUCGUUGCAGUGAAAAUAUGAAGGUGGGAAUGAGUGACCAAUACCCUGGGAAGGGCUGUGGGUGUGCCUGGGUCAGGAGCAAAUAGUCAGGGCUUAUCUUCCCCUGGUUUGAGGCUGAGUCUGGCAGCACCACAACAUUCCAAAGCAGACUAAUUAUUUCCUCCACUUUGUCACUUGUCCAGGCUCUCUGCAUACUGCCAUGUCAGUGGAUACACCUCUGUGCCACAGGGGCUUUCCAUGUGGGCUUCAGGGCUUUCCUCCAAGUAGUGGUAAACCCAAUUUCCAUUUUACAGACCUCUAUUGCUGCUGGAUUAGCUAAAGGACAUGACCUCCCUGUGAAAUCUGUUUUUAAAUAAAAGCCAAACUUUGAACCUUGGACUACAGCUAAAAGAUAGGAGAUGCACACUAGAUCAAUACUUGGCAAAUAUUAGUCGCAUGCCAUGGGCAGACACCUCUCUGUAUCCCUCUACAUGUUUUAGUGUGCCGGUGCAGCACAGGUAUUUAGUUUUAAGGAGUUCUUUACAGAGCACAACCAUUAAAUAACUUGUAGCUGCUUAAAAGUGGGGUAACAUAGUGAAAGUCUAGUAAUUACCUUCCUCUGUAGCCCUAGAGUUCAGGGAACUGAGGGCCACCUGUUUGCACAAGUGACAACAUUUUCUCUACCUCACCAGGAAUUACCUUUGCCCUAGUGCAUUACUUCUGUGAAUGGCAGCUUUCAAGAAAAUUGUCAAGCUUGAAACAGUUCCUCUUCCUCAGCAAGCAAGCAGCUAGUUCACCAUCUCCAAUUAUGGAAUAAUAAUGUAAGUAUAAAUUGUGCUUCUAUGUUUUAUCAGUGGCUGGGUACAACACACACAUUUUGGACUCAGCAUUUCCCAAUUGUGCCCAUAGGUUAAAAAAAAAAAGAGAGAGAGAAAAUAGGAGCAUUCGAUUCAAUUUUUUCCCCGUUUGUAAGGGACUUUGCUAUUUGAUAGCAAGGCAGGAAACAUCUUUCUGUGGCUCCUUUCUGCCUUUGGUUUGCAACAACAGUGCAAAGCCUAUUGCAAGAGUUGGCACAUCAGCCAAUAUUCUGGGAGUCCGAAUCCCCAAGACAAAGGCAGGUGGUGUUACAUGCCAAUCAGUGUUCCUCAGGAACAACCCAGAUGUGGCAGAUGUUCCUGCCCUACACAUGGGCAGCAGCUCAGCGCCAGGAGCACGCAGAGUGCAGCAGUUUGUGUGCAGUGCAAGGGUCCCAGUAACAACUCCAGCCUGGCAGCCUCCUGGCCCAGGAAAGCGCUGGCAAGAACUGCAGUCCAGUAAGAAAAUGCAGCUGCCUCGAGAUUGCUUUGUACUCUAAAUUCCCAGAGCAACAGAGCUGCUGCCAUCCUGUUUGGCAAGGACACUCUCAUGGUGAGAUGUCAGCAGCAUUGUUAUUCCUUCAGCAGCUUUUAGAACCUGGAGAAGCUAAGCAGGACUUUGGUGCAGAGACAAACACUAGAGAGAGGCAGAAUCACUGCUUCUAAGCAUAAAUUUGGACCAGAAAUUGAAUCUCCACCAAUGUGGAUUCCUGGAAGCAAGUUUUUACUUCAUGUCUCACUUAGGUGAAAAAAAAAAAAACAAACCAACAAAAUAAAACCAAAACUGUCCUUGUUUCCCUAGGACACCACAUCUCCUAAGGAUUUUGGACUGUUCUGUCUAGUGUCUCUCAGGGCAUGAAUGCAGGCAUCAGAAAACUCAGCUCAGAGCCAGUUUCUGCAUCUCUGGCAUGGUUUGGUAACACAUACCCACUAUAUAGUGAUACAUUUACUGUAAACAUAUACAGGUUUGUAGAGUACACGAGUCAUCUCAAUUCACCUUAUUCUUACUACCAAGUUGUCAUUUAUCAUGUGGCAAACACAGUGUUCUAUCAGCAUCAGCACAAGUACCCAGUUUGGGAUUUUUCUUUUGAUGAUAAAACCCUAUUUCCUUCCCAGGCAGCCACUGGGAGCAGCGCACAGCCAGGCCUGGCUCUGACAGCAGAGCUGACAGAACAUUCCUUCCCAGUUUGCUUAACAUCAUCUUUCAGAGCUUUCACCUGGCACCACGAGAGAAGAAGGGCACCAAGCAGGUGCCACAUCAACUCCUGAGCUCAUUUCAGCAGGGCAAGGGACUGCUGGGGAAACAGCCUGGGAGAGGCACAAGGCAACCCAGGGCCUUCCUACACCUCCUGCAUGCACAGAGGGGGCCACCCAGAGAGGCCAGGACAGUUCUCAGCUUACUAGCAUAGCUGUGGAAACUCCUCUGUCAGUAAGGCAUAGUUCAGACAUGUAGCACAGGACCAAAAUCAUGAUUUAUCUGGUACUGAAAAUAACUGGGUGCCUUUAGAAAGUGCUGGGAAAAAAAAAAAUACUUAAUCCAGCACCAUUACUUCACUAGCAAACACACAUAAGCAAUGCAUAGCAACCCUCACUCAGCUUCCUCCUGUUCUUAUGCUCAAACUAUACUAUCUAAACCUGACUUUAAAAAAAAAACCAACCACGAAACCCCCAAGACUUAGUGUAAAUAAAAGCACAACUUUAAACAACACUUAAAAAGCAACAUUAAUUCAAACUGCCAUACUCAUGCCAGCUUUCAGGAGUUAAAUAAAAAUACAGUUACAAAUUAAAUAGAAGCUUUUUAAAGUUAAAAUUUCAGCCAAAGAGGAAUAUUUUGUCAAAUGAUGCAUUUCAGGAAAACCUAAUUUGAUGAAAAAUUCCCAGUUUGGGGUAAAGGUGAGUCAACCAGUUCUCACAAACCUGUGGCUGCACACUGCCUGACUUCAAGAGAACUCCAUCCCAUGCUCCCCGCAGGUACAGUCAUUCAUCUUUAUGCUUUUCAGCAAAAUCCUGUAAUUCACACAAUAAGUGCUGCACUACUAUAUACUGGGUGAAAUCCAGGCCCUACAGAAACCACCAGAAAUUCUGCUGCCAGCAGCGCUGCUGUUUCUGUUAGAUUUCCUGCCACCGAUGACUGCCCAGUGUUCACUUCUCUGGAUCCCUCUGCAAGGCCUCUCGUCCCUUGAGCCCACAGCACCUCCCACUUCAGCAUCCUCAGCAAACUCGCUCCUGGUGUGUUGCACUCCUGCACCCGGAUCCUGGAUAACAGCGUUGAACAGUACAAGCCCUUGGAUUGAGACGCGAGCCCUCUGCUGGCAAACCACAGCUCUCCUCUUCCUGUGGCACCCGGCCUGGCUUCCAGAGAGCCAAGAGCAGCGUGCCCUGUUCAGCCAAGCUGAGAACCUACCCCAGCCGCCUGGCUUCUGCCCGAAUGGCAUUGCCUCUCCUGCACGUUUCAGUCAAACUGACCAGCACUCGGGGCCCCCUGACCAGCUACUCAGGGGACGUGGCCAACUGCUCCCUGGCAGCUUAAAUUUGCUCUCUUGAAAUCCAGGGCGACAACUCUGCUUUUUGUAACUACCCCAGAACUCCUGCCAUGAGUCCUCUAUUCACAAACCCCUGUGGCAGAGCACCUUUUCUAGUCGGUUCACCAAGCACUUGCGAUGAGAAAUUAUCCUCAACAAACUUCAGGAAUUCCCAGACUGCUUGUCACAGCAGUAUGGUACUCAUGUCUAGUUAAGUUACUCACUGAUCCUAAAUUAAAAUUGGACUUUACAUUCCACUAGCAGGAAUAUUCUACUAGCAUUUAAGAAUUGUGAAACACACAUAAUCUUGCCACACAAACACUUAGCUUCAAACAUGGCCCCAGAGCCUUGUUCAUUGACCUGGGUAAAGCAGAGCCCUGGCCCACGCCCACGGAGGCUUGAGAGGAAUGAUUAAUGUUUAACGUGCUCCAGCUCACAUAUGUGAAAUAGUUCCAACAGGCCAGCCAUGGGCAGAUGGUACCUUAAUUCACCAGGCACGCUGGGAGCACACGAGCUGUGCCACCAGCAGGCAGGUGUCACCACACCCACAGCCCCGUGUCCCUGCCACCCCAGGGCGAGCACAGCCCGGCUUGGCCCAUGGUCAGACCCCACAGCCCCUCCCAGCCAGGCCCCGAAGAUCUCCAUCAUGUGUGCCCAGCAGCUGUGACCCAACAGCUCGGGCCCCUCCUGUGCCACGGGCGGUGCAUCCCAGGGCACUGCCGUGCCCGGUGCCACCUGGGACAGCCCGUCUCGGGGCACAGAGCGGCCCAGGUGCCAGCCCUGGGAACAGCACCCUGGCACAGCCAGAGCAGGGGCAGUCUUCUGGGAUCAUUCCCAGAGCCCAGCUCCAGGCACGGCCCGUCCAGCCCCGCAGCCACACGCACGGCUGGAGGCUCAGGCAGGGACCAGGGCCACCCCAUCCCAGCCAAACACAGCUCCACAGCCCGGGCAGUGGAGAAAGCUCUCACGUAAGUUGGAAAAGCAUCAGCUGAUAUCUGGAGAAAAUAACUCACUUCCCACUGGGGAUAAAGAUUCAGAUUUGUAUAUGUGGUGUUUUGGUUUUUUUUCCCAGUCAUAAUAAACUUCUGAGGAUGAAAACCAAGAUCCCAGGAGUAUUCUAGGAACAGCAGGUGAGUUCUAAACUUCAGUUCAUACAGAAUUAAUCCUGCAAGCAUUAAUUAAAAGUUGGGGUUUUUUCUUGGUAAGCAGAGAGAAUAAUAUCUGAAUCCCCAAAUAAGCCUUGGAAGCAAAUAAUGGCAAAAUGACUGCAAAUUACAUAGUUUAAGAGUCUUCACUUGGACAUGAAAUUCAGUAAUUGUUUCUUGAUCUUUAAAUGGGCACAUUUUAUCUCCUAUUUAAUGAAAAUAAAGAUUCAUUCACCGAGAUCACUAAAACAAGAAUUGCACGUGUUGACUUGUUUUCCAAUACAACACAAAAAAUCCAAGAGGCUGGAAAAUGUUUUGUUUUAGAGCCAGUAGAAAGUUUUAGCUUUUAAAAUAAAAACACUCCCAAACACAGCAAGCUGAUACCAAUGAUUCAGCAAAAGAGGGGUCCUAUACAGCAUUAACAGGCUCUACAGUGGCUGUGCCAUAUAACCCCUGGUGAGACUGAUGCAGAUUGAUAGAGCAGGUACCUUUGGUCCAAAAAAAAUUACUGAAACACCUUAGCAGUAUCUCCAAAUAAGAAUAUCAAUACAUAGAUAUUUAAAGUGAGCAUUUGCUGGAAAUCAAACAGAAUUUCCCUCCCUUCUCCCUUAUUUUGUGUUUCUUUUUAGAAAGGUUACUUUUCACUGUUGGAUCUCAUUUCUCCAUUAAAGAAAAGAAAAAAAAAAAAAAGAGAAAAUUAAUUUAGCCAGCAAACUAGUUCCUUUCUCAAACACUAAUACUACUAACACUGUGAAACAGUAAGAAAUGAAAUGCCAGAAAAGGAAUUCUCAAAAUAAUUUUUCUUUAACUGUAUUCUGGGGACAACAUUGUGUAACUGGGAAACCUCGUGAGGCUAUGGCGACAGAUUUCAAGCUCUGGUGAGCUGAACUGGUCUGUCAUUACACAGGCAGGUCGUGCAUGCAGUUCCUAGUGGUUAAAGACAGCCAGAUGUUUCCUUAGAGAGCUGGGCACUCCUCCCCUCCCCACCCAACAAGAACCUGUGUCCUUUUAAGCCCAGCUCAGCCCCGGCCAGGCCCGUUUGCCCAGUGACAUCUCCUCGGUGCGUGGGACAAAGGCGGACACGGAACACCAGGUUAGUGACUGUCUGUUUUCACAGCGAGGGACAGGAGAGGCUGUUCUUUGUUCUCUAAAGCCGGCAGACGCAUGCCCGGGAGCUUUGUGGACAGCCCUUUACCCGGGGGACAGAGGCAGCCGCCUCCCAGGUCACCCUGGCCCCGUCAAGCAGGCAGGUGCCACAAUCCCCGGGGCAGCACAAGGCUCCACAGUAGCCCUGCCCUCGCUGCUCUGAGCCCCCUGAGCACCCUGCAAACACCUGGAAACACAGCACGGCCUGCCAGGGCUGCCAGCCCUCCCGCAGCUCCACUGCACGCCCGGAGGGGGUGCCCGGUGGCAGCUGGCACUCUGCAGCCACCCUUCUGCCAUGCUGUCACAGAGCUCCAGCCGAGGGCUCCCAAAGCAGGGAGAAAGUGACCUCUUGUCCCAGUGACUGGGACUCCAGUGUUCACACUGGUCCUGUUCCUCACACACUGAAGCUGCAGAUGCCGGGUACAAACAUCACAUGGGGGUUCUGAAGUGCGGGCACACGAACACCUCAACCUAGUCCAUUGCACAGUAUUUGGGAUUACACUUCAGCUAAAUACCUUUGGGAGCUCUGUGCCCCGGUGCUCAGUGAGCACAGUACAAGCCCACUGAUUUCCAAGAGCUGAUCUGGAAAAAGCCCUGGAACACAGGGAAUUUUUCUCUCACAAAAGCUGCUGCCUCACUUUCCUCCCCACUUUAGUCCUUCUUUUCACUCAAAACUAUCUUUGAACACCUAAUGAUGUCUGAUGCUCAGCACCUGCACCAACCGAAGUAAUGACAGACCAGCUGCACCCGAGCAGCCACAGCCUGCCCCUCACACCGGUUGGUUUGGAUUACCCACAGGGACAGACUGGGAAAAGAUAGCAGCUUCUUUUUCUCUGAGGUCUUGAAAUCAGGAUUUUGUGGAAAAGGCUUCAGGAAACAGGCAGAAGUGUCCAGGAUCCAGACACCAUCACCCUUGAUCAUCCAGAGGAUGAAACACAAGGCCACCUCUGAUUCACUAACCACACCCUUGUUUUAUUUCAGUUUUUCUCUUCCUAAGCUAUCCUCAGAGAGCAUAAAGAUGCUGGCAGGCAGGCAAAAAGUUUUCUGGUAAUUUCUUUCUGAUCCGGCACAUUUCCCACAGAUAGACCUCACCAAAUCUCAUCCAUGCCAAGGCACACCAGCACCUAUUUCAAUUGCUGAGUACAGGAACCUCAGUCACCCCAUUCCAACCACAAAAACCAGAAGUCCCCUUACUUGUCAGUUUUAAGCCUCUCCAGGCAAGUCAGUCUAGAAGAGCAGUCACAGGAACUCCAGAGCUGUUGUUAUCCAGUAAAUUUAAUAUCCAAUGCAAUGGGUAAGCUUCUCCAACUUGGCAAAACCACUUCUGAAGCCCUCACCACACUGAGAAUCACUUUAGACUGAAAAACCAUUACAAGGUCCCUGAACCACCCUCACACCUGAUCUUAAUCAGGACUAAUUAACUUCCAGCAUGCCUAAACACCUGUGUAACUCCCACACCUGUUUCUACAGCCUGUACUGGACAGUAAUAAUUUUUCUUUCCAUUCUUUUGAUACGUAAUGUUGCCAUUCCCAGUGCUAGGUCAGGAAUUGCUAAUGCUCACUUUAUUUUUAACUCAAGAUCCAUAUUUCACCCUCUUGCUGUUUCUGUGGGCAGGUUCCCUGCAGCACCUAAGGGGCUCACAGGAGGGAUGGGGAGGGACUUGGGACAAGGGCCUGGACUCACAGGAUGCAGGGAAUGGCUUCACACUUCCAGAGGGCAGAAUUAGAUGGGAUAUUGGGAAGACAUUCUCAGCUGUGAGGGUGGUGAGGCCCUGGCACAGGGUGCCCAGAGAAGCUGUGGCUGCCCCAUCCCUGGGAGUGUCUCAGGCCACGUUGAACAGAGCUUGGAGCAACCUGCGAGAGUGGAAGACAUCCCUGCCCAUGAGGGUGGAAGGAGAUGAUCUUUAAGGCCCUUCCCACCCAAACCAUUCUGUGAUUCUCUAGCUUUGACACAGGAACUUCCCAGUUAUGGCCAGGUAACAGGGGCUCGUGGCUGCCACUGGCAACCAGCCUCUGCUCACUGGGAGCAAAUCCUUUCUGGAGCAUUCUCCAGUUACCAAUGCUACAAAGAUUUUCUUUGUGGAAAGAGAGCACUUCAACUCUUUUACAAAAGCUGCUGCCUCACUUUCCUCCCCACUUUAGUCCUUCUUUUCACUCAAAACUAUCUUUGAACACCUAACGAUGUCUGAUGCUCAGCACCUGCACCAACCUAAGUAAUGACAGACCAGCUGCACCCGAGCAGCCACAGCCUGCCCCUCACACCGGUUGGUUUGGAUUACCCACAGGGACAGACUGGGAAAAGAUAGCAGCUUCUUUUUCUCUGAGGUCUUGAAAUCAGGAUUUUGUGAAAAGGCUUUAGUUCAGCAGAGCCAUGGCAAACAGGACUGGAACAGCCAUGGGAAAUGCAAUUUCAUGCUACAUAGGGUGAUAAAUGAUUUGGUAAGACAGGUGAGACUAAAUGUGGAAUCGGUGUGAAGUUUCCAUCUAGCAAGGAAAGUGCCUGCAAUGUCACACAAAACACUCGAUGGCUCAUUCUUUGUUACUUUGUCACCACUAUCUCCAAAACAUUGCCAUCACGGCUGCACUGUUUUUCCGUGUAACUGGGGAAUUAGGAGCAGAUGAAUAUAGAAAAGGGAAGCCAAGUCCAGCCCGUGCCAAGCUGAGGCUACUUGGCUAUUUCUGGGCCCUGACUUUAAGCCCUUCUGGUGGCCAGACUAGCUGUAGGGAGCUCCUCCAGUCACCACGGGACCCAGGCAGAACAUCACAUGGAGUUAUAAAACCACUAUAAAAACUUUUUCUUUGCAGUGCUUCAAGGGGCCAAACUGAUUUUUUUGCUUUUCUCAAAAGAGCAAAACUAGCACCUAUGUGAAAUGCUGACAGGCAUCUCCUGAGACACGGGAGCCACGCAGGGACUGCUGCUGGCUGUACUGCAGCGCUGCAAUGAAAACAACUAGCAGUCAAUUACAGCUGGCUGCAGCAAGCCAAGGGCACCAAGAGCCCUGUCCAUGCUGCCCCAAACUCUGCCUCAGAGCUGGCCCAGGCCUUGGUGCUGGGGCUGGGCUCGUGGAGGGACAGGGGCAGGGCACAGGGCCCCUCAGCAGAGCCACCCUCAGCCCUGGGCACAGACUGCGCUAGGGACUGACGGAAUUCAGGUCACCAAAGCCUCCUCAAGUUCCGAGAAGUGGAUUGAAACAGAUUUUUUACAGAAUUUAAGUCCACAGUGGAUUUACAGAAUUUUUUGCAGAGACAAAAAAUUAUUAAAGCUGCUUACCCUCAUGUGCAGCUCAGGGGUCAGAGGACUAACAGAGCUGGAAGUGCUCCCUCAAACCCACCCUAGGGCAUCCUUUGUACACUGGUGUGCCCAGCACACCUCUCUGCAGAGCCAGCAGAUCUCCUGGGGAAAGGGGAGUCACCCUGAGAGACUGGUAAAUACAAGUUUUUUGUGUUAGCCCUCUAUUUACAGCAAAAUUGCUUAAAUUCUGCCCACAACUAUUUUGCUGGGGAAGAAGCAAUGUCAUGGAGGGUACAUUGUCAGCCACACUUACUCCCCUAAUCUGAAGAUAAUUCCCAACCCCUCUCUGUCAGAGGGUGAAUGGUUACAGGAAAUGCCAGGACGAUCCAGAACUGAUGUAAUGAGUUUGAUGAUUGGGAAACUCAAAUCAAUUUCGUUUACUGAUCCCCAGCAGAAAUCAGAAGAGAUCAUGGCUUCCAGGUUAAAGACCUUUGCUCAACUUUCUGCUGCUCUGAGUUAAUCUUUCUCUACCCAGCCAUCGGAGUGACCAGCACAGGUAAUCUUUAACCAGUGGCCAUUGACUGACAAGGAUCACAGCAUUUCUCCUCUGGGAUCUGAACCGUCCCAGCACUUGUAGCCCUUACCUCUGUCCAUGAGAUCAUGGUAAACAUGCCCUUUGAUUUCUGCAGUACUCUGGGAUAAACACCACCUUUGUCUACUUUGAGCCCAAGAAUUCCUGUAGCAAUGUCCUGUCAAAAAUUAUAUGGCCAUAUCCAAAAGUGAUGUGAGUCAGCACAGUCACUGACAUUAAGAAAGCAAAUGGAUAAAAUCAAUUCUACUGUUGGAUAUGUGUAAUUUUUCUCCAUAAAAGAUUCUGGCCUAAAUCUCUGACCCAGACAUGUCUGGAAGUUUAAGCCAAGGGAGCCAUGCCCACGGCUGGUGGGACAGUGGCAGGAUUUUUCCAAAGAUGAAAUAGCCAGCCCCAGAUCAGCUGAAGAGUAUUCUGUGCUGGAGUAAAGCCACAAAGAUACAGCUCAGGUUUUUGCCCCUGCAGUUAUUCCUUCAGUUUUGAAGCUGUUCUUCCACUGUUUCUGCACAGAAAAGACACCAUCCCUGUGAUUUCCAUUUCCCUCAACAUAUCUUUCACAUUGUGUAUAAGAUAAAUGAGAGGAAAGAGCUUUUGUAGGGAUCAAAUCGUGUCCUUUGUCUAGUGACAUCUUCCUCACCAGGAACUCCGUAUAUAAAAUGGAAGCACAGAAUAAUUUAGGCUGGAAGGGACUUUUGGAGAUCAUAGGACUGAGUCCUCUGCUCUGAGCAGAGCCAGGCUCAGAGUUAGACUGCACUUCAAAGUUAGAUGAUUUUGCUUGGGGUCAUAGGUACAUAUUUCAGAGGGAAGAAUCUGGCCCUCAGGUCUAUGUGCAACGUAUGUUGCAUUAUCUGCCCCUGUGUCACCUUUAGAACAUUUAAACAAACCAGUUCCUUUUCUUUUUCCAGGAAUUUCCCAACACUUUGGCAUUUCAUUUCAGAGAACUGGACCCCAACCAGUCUGCAGCAGUACUGGAUGUUGCAAUGCAGUUCCAGACUUUCCCCAGGCUCCCUGUGGAGUGACCCGUGCUUCACCUACAGUUGCAGAGCCCCAUUUUGAGGGAAACUGGGUUGUUGGGUUUUUUUCCCAGAAACACAACCCACAAAUACCAAGUAAGUGGUGUUUCUGCUGUGAUUAAAAGUAGCACAUUUUAGAUUUUUUCUGCUAGUUUUGGACAAAGUGUGGCACUUUGGUUUUGGGGUGGUUGUUUUCUUUUUAAUAUGAGGUCUUCUUGAUGAAAUAUUGUCCUCUUUUUCUGAUUAAGCAUAUUGUCAGAUAUCUUUUGUAGACUUCAAAUGCACAUCUGUACUUUCAGAGUCACAUAAGGAGUUUGCACACAGGAUGCUGAUAUAAUUGUACAGGUCAUUUUUAGAUACCUACUUUCCCCAAAACUUGUUCUACUACCAGGGCAGACUCUGAACUAGUAGAAGUAGUAUUUUUAUCAUCUUUACACUGUGUGUGUGUACCAGUCCCAAACAAGGAAUUACUAUUUACAUAACAGGACUGGGAGUAGAAAUCAGCAUUUUAGGAAACAGUAGAUUAUUCUUGCCAUGACAGAUUUGCAGUCCAAGACAGUGUUAAGCAAAAAAGACGUGUCAUCAACUGGUAACAAAGAGGGUGUAAGGAGGAGACGUCAAGACCCAGAAUGUUUUCCAAAUUUGAUUUCAUGGUGGUUUUCUGCUGCUGGAUGGACACAUCCAGCCAAAAUCAGUAGAAUUACCUGGUUCUUCACUUUUGUGAAGUAUUUAUAUUGAAAACUUUGCUUCCUAAACCCCCAAACUAUUACUUCAGGCUUUUCCAAAAUGUUCUGAUGGAACAGAAGUAUGGCAAUGGAAGUAAGUGAUGAAGCACCUGUUAGUUAACUAGCAAAUGUUUCCAUACCCAAAAUGUGACUUGAUUUUAUGUUCAGAGAAAAUCUUAGGUUCAAAUCCUAUUUUAGCCUUCACAAAAAGAAGUGUAAUUCAUCAGGCCCUAAACUGGAGGUUUAUGCAAUGGUCUCGUUGUUGGAUGAGGUCCUGGGAGGUGUGUACCAUUCCUGGGUUUGCCAGUGGUGUUCAGACAGGCUCAACUGAAGCCAGGCUUUUCUCCCUACCUCCUAGGUGUGCUGGAAAAAGUAAAACCUGAAAAUCAAAGCAGACAGAACAUCAAAAUUUAAGGAAGAAAAAGGAUUGGCAAGCCUCAGGAGUGAACAUGAGAUGAGCACUGAGGAACUGACAAAAUCAGUCUCCAUGGCAAAAGUAAGCAAUUAAUAUGCAGCCAGAGUAAACACUCUUCAUCUCAGGGUUCAGCAAAACAAAGAGCUGAAACCCCCUUAUCUUUUGCAUUUUUCCCUCCCCACAUGUGCUCUCUGAAGGAACAGAGAAAAUUGAAGUCUCAGAGCUUUUUUCCGUUCUUUAGUCUGACUAAAGGUGACUCUGGCUCAGUGCAGCGAGGGUCAUCUCCCUCCCCCAGAUCAAUAUUUUAAUAUGACUUAUCAGAACAAGAAUGAAUUGUUUACUUUAAAACUUCAGGAUCCCAUAAAGGGAGAGGGAAAGGUGUCCACUGGAAGCAGAGGCUUGCAGCAGCUGCCCACUGCUGGGAACUCAGAAAAGAAACCACAACUCCAAAGAUUCGAGUACAGACAAUCAGCAAAAUGUCCUGCGAGAGAAUCCCAGUUCUGCCCAGCCCUAACAACACACCAGACGAUCCUUUGGCUGUUGUCUCUGAUGGUCCUUGAAACCCCCUCUGCUGAAGUCUGCAGCGUGCCUCCAUCGCUCUUCCACAGGCUAAGGACCUGCUCCCAGAGCUGUGGAGUGUGACAAUGGUGUUUGUGUCCAGUCUAUCAAACGCCAUUAUCACACUAAAUAGUUCCUGGCAGACAAGGCAUCGGGUCAGGAAGGUUUGGGACCUCUGGCAGUACAUCUUCCCACUGUGCUGAGGAAUAAACAACUGUGGAACGUGCACAGCAGGAUGACUCUGCUCCUUCCUUUAGAGGCAAAAGCACCAUAAUAUGUGAGAAAUCCAUACUCUCACACAUGCACUUCCUGAUCCUCACUUAAAGACCAGACAUCUUAAGGAAUCAUCACUAUACUGUCAUCAUUAGGAAUGUGGAUUUCCUUGGCAUCAAUAGGGCCGUGUUUACCUCUGAGAGGUCAGCUUGUGAUUUUCAUUGAACUGACCAGGACAAUAAAACUGAAAGCAAUUAGCCAA